AGUAAAGUAAGCUAAAUAUAAGCUCCUGGGCCCAUACCCCAAACAUGUAGGUUAAAGCCCUGCCUUUACUA
rnacentral:tRNA from 2 species